AUGCCCUCGCGAUUUGCUGUCGCUGGCCAUGGACACGGUGGUGCCGGACCUGGACUCGCCAUGGACAUGGAGAAGCCGGCCGUGGACGUGGGGCACAGCUAUGGCGGCGCAACGGCAGGGUGCCGGGGACGGCCACGAGCGCUACUGGCAAAACUCGAGGCGCGGCUGCUGGGUGCGUUGGCGGCUUGUGGACGAGCUCCACGCGUGCGCCGAACUCCCGCGGCUGGUGGCCCUGCUCCCCGGCGUCCGCGCGCUCGUGCUGGAGCUCAUUCUCUAGGAUGGGGCCAGGGUAAUAGUGGCGCCAGAGACGCCGACAAGUGCCGCCAGUUGUGA
rnacentral:rRNA from 1 species